AUACGUAGGGGGCGAGCGUUGUCCGGAAUGAUUGGGCGUAAAGGGCGCGUAGGCGGCCCGGUAAGUCUGGAGUGAAGGUCCUGUUUUUAAGAUGGGAAUUGCUUUGGAUACUGUCGGGCUUGAGUGCAGGAGAGGUAAGUGGAAUUCCCAGUGUAGCGGUGAAAUGCGUAGAGAUUGGGAGGAACACCAGUGGCGAAGGCGACUUACUGGACUGUAACUGACGCUGAGGCGCGAAAGUGUGGGGAGCAAACAGGAUUAGAUACCCUGGUAGUCCACACUGUAAACGAUGAAUGCUAGGUGUAGGGGGUAUCGACCCCUUCUGUGCCGCAGUCAACACAAUAAGCAUUCCGCCUGGGGAGUACGGCCGCAAGGCUAAAACUCAAAUGAAUUGACGGGG
rnacentral:rRNA from 1 species